AGUCGAACGGUAGCAGGAAGUGCUUGCACUUUGCUGACGAGUGGCGGACGGGUGAGUAAUACUUAGGAACAUGCCUUUGUGUGGGGGAUAACCAUUGGAAACGAUGGCUAAUACCGCAUAAUGUCUUUGGACCAAAGAGGGCUUUCGGGCUCUCGCGCAAAGAGUGGCCUAAGUGAGAUUAGCUUGUUGGUGAGGUAAAGGCUCACCAAGGCGACGAUCUCUAGCUGUUCUGAGAGGAAGAUCAGCCACACUGGGACUGAGACACGGCCCAGACUCCUACGGGAGGCAGCAGUGGGGAAUAUUGGGCAAUGGGCGCAAGCCUGACCCAGCCAUGCCGCGUGUGUGAAGAAGGCUUUCGGGUUGUAAAGCACUUUAAGUUGGGAGGAAGGCUGCUUAGUUAAUACCUAAGUAGAUUGACGUUACCAACAGAAUAAGCACCGGCUAAUUCCGUGCCAGCAGCCGCGGUAAUACGGAAGGUGCGAGCGUUAAUCGGAAUUACUGGGCGUAAAGAGCACGUAGGCGGUUUGUUAAGUUGGAUGUGAAAGCCCAGGGCUCAACCUUGGAAUUGCAUCCGAUACUGGCAGGCUAGAGUACAGUAGAGGGAGGUGGAAUUUCCGGUGUAGCGG
rnacentral:rRNA from 1 species